AAAUUGAAGAGUUUGAUCAUGGCUCAGAUUGAACGCUGGCGGCAGGCCUAACACAUGCAAGUCGAACGGUAACAGGAAUCAGCUUGCUGAUUCGCUGACGAGUGGCGGACGGGUGAGUAAUGUCUGGGAAACUGCCUGAUGGAGGGGGAUAACUACUGGAAACGGUAGCUAAUACCGCAUAAUGUCGCAAGUACCAAAGAGGGGGACCUUCGGGCCUCUUGCCAUCGGAUGUGCCCAGAUGGGAUUAGCUAGUAGGUGGGGUAACGGCUCACCUAGGCGACGAUCCCUAGCUGGUCUGAGAGGAUGACCAGCCACACUGGAACUGAGACACGGUCCAGACUCCUACGGGAGGCAGCAGUGGGGAAUAUUGCACAAUGGGCGCAAGCCUGAUGCAGCCAUGCCGCGUGUAUGAAGAAGGCCUUCGGGUUGUAAAGUACUUUCAGCGGGGAGGAAGGGAGUAAAGUUAAUACCUUUACUCAUUGACGUUACCCGCAGAAGAAGCACCGGCUAACUCCGUGCCAGCAGCCGCGGUAAUACGGAGGGUGCAAGCGUUAAUCGGAAUUACUGGGCGUAAAGCGCACGCAGGCGGUUUGUUAAGUCAGAUGCGAAAUCCCCGGGCUCAACCUGGGAACUGCAUCUGAUACUGGCAAGCUUGAGUCUCGUAGAGGGGGUAGAAUUCCAGGUGUAGCGGUGAAAUGCGUAGAGAUCUGGAGGAAUACCGGUGGCGAAGGCGGCCCCCUGGACGAAGACUGACGCUCAGGUGCGAAAGCGUGGGGAGCAAACAGGAUUAGAUACCCUGGUAGUCCACGCCGUAAACGAUGUCGACUUGGAGGUUGUGCCCUUGAGGCGUGGCUUCCGGAGCUAACGCGUUAAGUCGACCGCCUGGGGAGUACGGCCGCAAGGUUAAAACUCAAAUGAAUUGACGGGGGCCCGCACAAGCGGUGGAGCAUGUGGUUUAAUUCGAUGCAACGCGAAGAACCUUACCUGGUCUUGACAUCCACGGAAGUUUUCAGAGAUGAGAAUGUGCCUUCGGGAACCGUGAGACAGGUGCUGCAUGGCUGUCGUCAGCUCGUGUUGUGAAAUGUUGGGUUAAGUCCCGCAACGAGCGCAACCCUUAUCCUUUGUUGCCAGCGGUCCGGCCGGGAACUCAAAGGAGACUGCCAGUGAUAAACUGGAGGAAGGUGGGGAUGACGUCAAGUCAUCAUGGCCCUUACGACCAGGGCUACACACGUGCUACAAUGGCGCAUACAAAGAGAAGCGACCUCGCGAGAGCAAGCGGACCUCAUAAAGUGCGUCGUAGUCCGGAUUGGAGUCUGCAACUCGACUCCAUGAAGUCGGAAUCGCUAGUAAUCGUGGAUCAGAAUGCCACGGUGAAUACGUUCCCGGGCCUUGUACACACCGCCCGUCACACCAUGGGAGUGGGUUGCAAAAGAAGUAGGUAGCUUAACCUUCGGGAGGGCGCUUACCACUUUGUGAUUCAUGACUGGGGUGAAGUCGUAACAAGGUAACCGUAGGGGAACCUGCGGUUGGAUCACCUCCUUA
rnacentral:rRNA from 1 species